GGUGAGAUGGCCGAGCGGUCUAAGGCGCCAGACUAAGGAUCAGCUUCUUUCGAAGCAUAAUUUGUGAAGCAAUUUACAAUCUGGUCCUCCGGGGCGUGGGUUCGAAUCCCACUCUCAUCA